AUACGUAGGGGGCGAGCGUUGUCCGGAAUGAUUGGGCGUAAAGGGCGCGUAGGCGGCCCGGUAAGUCUGGAGUGAAAGCCCUGUUUUUAAGAUGGGAAUUGCUUUGGAUACUGUCGGGCUUGAGUGCAGGAGAGGUAAGUGGAAUUCCCAGUGUAGCGGUGAAAUGCGUAGAGAUUGGGAGGAACACCAGUGGCGAAGGCGACUGACUGGUCUGUAACUGACGCUGAGGCGCGAAAGUGUGGGGAGCAAACAGGAUUAGAUGCCCUGGUAGUCCUCACUGUAAACGAUGAAUGCUAGGUGUAGGUGGUAUCGACCCCUUGUGUGCCGCAGUUAUCACAAUAAGUAUUCCGCCUGGGGAGUACGGCCGCAAGGUUGAAACUCAAAGGAAUUGGCGGGG
rnacentral:rRNA from 1 species